AAAUCUUUAGUUUAAUUAGAAUAUUUUGUUUACGACAAGAAGGUCUGUGGGUUUU
rnacentral:tRNA from 1 species